CUUGCUCCUUCUGUGGGAACAGAGACUCUGGCAUCUUCAGCUUUGAAAUUGCUUAAACAUAUCUGCUUGGAGGUGGGAUAGGUGAGUCAAGCUUCAAUGUCCUUCACUCUGACCCCAGGGUGUCUAAAUGCUCUUAAUUUCUUCAGAUUAUCCUCCAACACCAGGGCUAUUUAUCUAACCUCAGGGACAGUAAAUAGGUCUGUGGCUCAGAAGCUCCUUUCCAAGGAGUUUUUGAGGCCUGCAUUCCUGGCUCACCAAUACUUUUCACCCGUUUUGUUUUUACAUCUUUUUCUAGAGGGAAUGGAUGCCACAUGGUGCAGCUGCCUAAAAGCUAAGAAGGGGUCAUGGGGUAACAGGAAAUGCCAAAGAAAAACAAUAAUUGGCAUAAAGAUUGAGGCCCAGAAGAGGAAAAGGAAGUGACAAAGAUCACCCAGAAAGAAGGUUCCAACUGCAGCUUGACUUCAGGUGAUGUAGCUCCCACCUGGCCAGGUAUCUUUUCCAGUAUACCAACAUAACUAGAGAAAUUUUUAUGCCUUAACUCAGUCACCAUAAAGACUCAAUGG
rnacentral:lncRNA from 1 species